UACGUAGGGGGCAAGCGUUGUCCGGAUUUAUUGGGCGUAAAGAGCGUGUAGGCGGUCAGGUAGGUCCGUUGUGAAAACUCGGGGCUCAACCCCGAGCCUGCAGUCGAUACGGGCAGACUAGAGUGCUGUAGGGGAGACUGGAAUUCCUGGUGUAGCGGUGAAAUGCGCAGAUAUCAGGAGGAACACCGGUGGCGAAGGCGGGUCUCUGGGCAGUAACUGACGCUGAGGAGCGAAAGCGUGGGGAGCGAACAGG
rnacentral:rRNA from 1 species